CUAAUUAGGAGUUCCCUACUAUCUUUGUUUCUUGCAGUCAGCUGUUUGCAGUUAACUGUGAUAGCUGAUGGGAGGGUCUUGCUAUAAAUACAGAGCACCCACACCUUCACACCAGCACUCUUUGCUGGAUUGUCAAGCUGUGAGGUUGAUCCUGUCAAUAAUACAGUGUACUGUCUGACAGUGGACAUUAUUAGAUCUGUUGCGGAUCUCAUAUAAUCAGGGACCUCCAUCCCAGUCCCAGUAUAUCCCUUCUGGCUGAUCCGCCGGCUUCUCGAUCUUUGGAAAAAUUUCUCCCUAAAGGGACAAACACCUGUUCCUUAUAAAUGUUCGUCUCAAACUUGAAUUAAUUGUAUAUCCCAAUACCCAUUUCUUGUUUGACUGGCAACCUCAUUGAUUGAACCCAGCGUGCAGUUUAUAUUUUCAAUUCUUUUAAAAAAUUGUAUCCAAUGAAAUAUUCAUCAUCCUUUAUAAUACGUAAGUGAAUGAUUACAUGUAUAUAUAUCACAUAUAAAGAAAACUUUUUGUAUCUAUUAAUAAUGUUCUAAAUGCAUGUAAUUAACUUUAUGUAUUUUUAUGCUUUAAUGAACGAAUUGUCCUUCUCUACACACCUCUGAAGACGGUUACCCCGAAACGCGUCGGGUGUAAAGAAGGUUCUUCAUGUAUGUACUUAUAUGGUGACAAUCACUGAAACUGUAUAUUUUAAUUCAAUAUUUCAUUUUUUUGAUAAAUAUGUACAAUUGUGAAUAAAACAAUUUACUCUCAA